ensembl:lncRNA
CUGCUGUACGUUCAAACCUGAGGCCUUAAAUAGAAACACACAAGUAUCUGAUUGAAGGAACUUCUGCAGAGUCCUGGUUCCAGAACAUGAUGAUAGAAUUAUAGACAAACUUUAACAAAAGCUGCCUGAGAGUUUACAGCUUUUUAUGUUGGAUUUCUUCAGUAAUUUAAUGAGAGUUAUCAGCAAAAAUCAAGUGUUCAUUUGAUGAACUUGAUUUCCUAAAACAUCCAGAAUUGGAGCUCAUAUCUUUGGCAGCUGUAAAGUUUCUGCUCCUUCAAAGUUCACAACACAAUGAAUGAAUUCCUAAAACACUCUCAAUGCUGGAGAGCGUUUGAUGCUGAAGCAGUGACCAGUUUUUCUGUUUCUUCUCUGGAGAUGCACAAUGAGGGACGUCUGCAGAGACUGAGAAAGAGUCUCACCACAUCCUGACAUGAGGAAAAAGACUUUAUUGAAGACUACAAUGAGAAAAACUAUCAGACAGCAGACGGCUGCAUUCAAGAGAGGAAGACCAUCAAACAUCCAUGUCAGCUGAUGGAGGUCCAAGAGUCUGACCCAACAAACAACCUACAGAGUGAAGACCUCGAAUCUGAUUGGACGGCCUCCUAUUCAGCCACAUGUGUGAACAAAUGCCUCUAAGCUGAUUAAGCUGAUUUGUUUUCUAAAAUAAAUCUAGUUUGAGUCCUAAUCUAUGCCUGUGUGUUUGCUUCUUUACACCGCUGUUAACAGUUUAGGCUGUUGGGUUGUUCCAGAUAAGACAAGUACAAGAUACUUCAGAGCUGUUCUACCAUGAGCCUGACAGGAAGAACUCCAACAGCUACUGAAUGUUCCUGUGGUUCCCUCAAGGCUACAGGAGGAGUCCUACGAGGACGAGCCGGUCCACCUGAUGGAGGCCAGUCGCUGCGGUUCAAAGCCAACACCGACUACGUGGACUUCUACUGGACCACACGGAGGCCUUCAAACCGGACCAACAAGUUCAGCGACUCCCCGACUCGUGGGUCUGAGGACGCCGCCGAGCCUCGGUCCAGCCGGCCUCCUGUCUGUGGGUGUUUGAGUGCUGAGAGGUUUGUGGAUGCAUGUGAACGUUCUGUGUUGAAACAGCAGCUUUGGACUCAGUAACGCUGGGAAAAACCAAGAGCUCCUUUAUUUGUGACUUCCACUAAAAAACUGAUGAAAAUAAGUUUGCCAGGGUUCUGACUGAUAACAGAUGAUUAAAUAAUGAAAAUAACAGUUUAAAUAUUCCUUUAAACAAUCCUUUUAGGUCCACAUUUCCUUUACACUGACUUCUUGGUAUAUGUACAAGUAUUUUGGGUGGAAUAUACCAUUAAGCCCGAUGUUUAAGGGUUCUUCUGGGAAUAUACCAUUAAACCAGCCUUUUAGGUAAAUGUUCCAGGAUGUUGAGUAGAAUAUACCAUCAGAUAAAGGUCUACAUUGGAAGAUUUUAGAGUAGAAUAUUACUCCAAACCAUCCUUUAGGUCUACAUUUAAGGUGGAAUACUCCUUUAUACCAAGAUUUUCUGGUCUACAUUGAAGGAUUUUAGGUGGAAUAUUCCUUUGAACGAACUUUUUAAGUUUAUGUUCAAGGAUGUUGGGUGGAAUAUACCAUCAGACCAACCUCCAAGGUUCACAGUAGUGAAUUUUUGGUGGAAUAUACCAUUAAACUCACCUUUUAGGUCUACAUUGGAGGAUUUUAGGUGGAAUUUUCUUCCAAACCGUCUUUUAGUCUACAUGUAAGGAUGUUUAGGAUGGUAUAUUCUUCCAAACCAACUUCCCAGGUCAACAUUUCAGGUGGAAUAUUCCUCCAUACUGACUUUUUUGGUCUACAUUGAAGGAUUUUUUCUAAACCACCCUUUCGGGUCUGUAUUUGAGGUUUUAGGUGGAAUAUUCCUUUUAACCAGCCCCUCAGUCUCAGGUCAGGAUUUUGGAUGGAAUACUUUGUUAAAGCAACAUUUUAGGUGCAUGUCCGAGGAUUUUUGGUGGAAUGUUCCUUUAAGGUGGAUGUUUGAGGACCUUGUAGGUGGAAUACUUCCUGAAACCAACCUUUUAGGUCAACAUUCAAAGAUUUAAGGUGGAAUAUUCCUUUAAACCAACCUAAAUUUCAUGUUUCGAUCAUUAUCAAGGGAGAAAACUCAAUCCAGACUCCUCAUAAUGACGUUUGACAUUUAUGCUGCUGUUAUUUGUUUAGUCCAGACUAAAUGACAGAAAUCCACAACUGUUAUUUUAUUUCAGGACUCGGUUAUUAAAUGUCAAAACAAUCCAUGU